CACGUACAUUCGGUAAGAAAACGUACGUCCGAACACGUUUAAGGUCAUCGCUGCAUAUUAUUACACUGGACGGUACAUUGCAGAGUGGCACUUUCCAAAGUGCCGAGGAUUGACGACCGGAGAUGUAUUAGUAUUAAGUACCACACGGCAACAUAAUAAUAUUAUUGCGUCCAUCGUUUCGAAUGAUUGUAUCUACCCGAAAAGCAUACGUCAGUCGUACUCGGAUCGCUGUGCACGCGAAUGGUGUGACGAUCGAGUUAACCGGCUUAAAAAGUUUGUUAGAAGUCUGCACGGGUUCAACGUCAACGGACCCAUAAGUAGGACGAUGUAUGCGCGACCGUGCACAACAUUCGGUUAAGCCUGCGCAGUUCUGCAGCCGUUUUCGAAAAGUGAAAAAAAAUAAAUAAAAAUGAUUCAUCGAUCGUCGCUACCUUCAAACGAAAACCGUUCCUAUUAUCAACACCUGUGAAGACCAGACUAGUGAUAAUUUUUUCGGGUUCUGUUAUUGUUUUGUAGAAAUUUAGUUUGUAAUUUAUGUUUUGUUAUAUUUUUUUUUAAAUGUUUUUUACCAAAACGUUAUGUUUUAGGCUAUUCGGUCUGCGUGCAUUGUUACCGUGUUAAAUGAAUCGUUUUAUUGGUUCCCG